rnacentral:lncRNA from 1 species
GUACCGCCCCUGUUCACUUCAGCAUGCAAGGAACACCUUCGGGAAGAAUCAAAGUUUUUCUCCUCUGCAAAGCUAUCAAUGCUUUAUUCAAGAUCUUUAGCAGUCGAUCGUUCAUUCUCCCUCCCCAGUGGCUUUCGAAAGCUCGACAUGAAAGAAUAAAGAAAAUAGGAAAAAAGAGUACGGGGAUAUUUAGCUAUUUAGCCUUAGAGAAAGGUGACUUGGUAAGACCAGUUGAAAGAAUAAAGAAAAUAGGAAAAAAGAGGACGAUGAUAUUUAGCUAUUUAGCCUUAGAGAAAGGUGACUUGGUAAGACCAGAAUCUGGAACAGAGAUUGGAUGAAGAAUUGCUUUUUCUUUAGC